GAAAAUACAACAUGGCGGAUCAUGAUGGUUAUUGGAGAAAAUCGACCUUCACAUAUUUUGUGGAUUUAAAAGCAUGGUUACCCACGUCUAUGUUGUCAUAUUUGAAUGGAAAUCAAAGGGUUUCAAUGGCUGCAAAACCCGCCUUAAGCUAGCAAUAACAGUAAGUCAUUUGGACAUGCACAGCUUGGCGAAGAUAACCUGCCACGUAGUCAACGCGGUAGAAGUAAGUUGAUCAGUGGUUUAUGAUGAGAUUGCAGUCACGGAUGAAUUGUUAGUGAUGUGAAAGAAAUGAUAUAAAUGAUGUACAUGUACUCAUGUCAGAAGUUGGUUGCACACUCAAAGUAAAAACGAAAUGCGAGAAAAGAAUGCCCAUGCUGUUCCUCCAGUGAAAGGUCGUUAUUGCAUUGAGCAAGCAAUUAUGAUUUUAAUUUGUUUGCCAUACAGCCUGCAGCCUCUUGCCUAGUCAAUGUUUUCGUCUGGAGCUCGAUGAAACACGAGCACUCUCUCGGUGCUUAUUUUUAUUGUUGCAUACGAGGCUGCAAACACUUGAGCAGUGCGUGCAUUGAAUCUGUGGUUUCGUUGUGAAUAUUUAUUUUUAUUUAUAGCUAGUUGAAUAUGACCGAAUAAGGCGCUUAAUUGUGUCUGUGUCAGAUGGCAAGAUGAAGUUAUGAAGAAAUGAAAAGGCCUCAGGUAUUAUUAAACGUGGAGAGGAAGGAGAAAGUCGCGAAAA